rnacentral:tRNA from 1 species
GAAAGGUGUAAUGGUUAGCACUCUGGACUCUGAAUCCAGCGAUCCGAGUUCAAAUCUCGGUAGGACC